GGGACAUGGUGGGAGGUAAUUGAAUAAUGGGGUGGUUUCCCCCAUGCUGUUCUUGUGAUAGUGAGUGAGUUCUCACAAGAUCUAAUGGUUUUAUAAGCAUCUGGCAUUUCCUCUGCUGGUACUCAUUCUGUCUCCUGCUGCCCUGUGAAGAGGUGCCUUCCACCAUGAUUAUGCGGAGUCUCACUGUGUUGCAAAUUCCUGACCUCAAGUGAUCUUCCUGCCUGGGCCUCAAAGUGCGGGGAUUAUACGCAGGGGCCACUGCUUUCAGCCUUUAAAUUCUGUUAAAAACAGCGUUGGUGAGGGUCAGCGCUGCCACUGCACAACCUCAGGGUUGGAACCACCACCAUGGAAACUUUUGCUGCUGACACACAUGUACCCACCCACAGAACCAGAAGCCACCACACCCACCCCCAAAUGGACAAUUCAGUACUUCCCUAGUUUCUUAUAGACAACAUAUAGGUUUCUCAUGCUAUUUGAUUUCCUCUGACAAUCUGUUUUUAUUGGUGCAUUUAGAC
rnacentral:lncRNA from 10 species